CUCGAAAAUGUUAAAGUUCUUAUUUCAUGGUAUAACUUUGGUAUGCUUGGACCUAGAGUCUUCAAACUUGACAUGAAGGUUGGCCAGGAUUAACAGAUGACCACUGGUCAUUUCAAGGUCAUUCAUUUGAAGGUCAAGGUCACUGUGACCUUCAUUAUAAAAAUGUUAAAGUUGUUAUAACUUUGGUAUGCUUGGACCUAGAGUCUUGAAACUUGACAUGAAGGUUGGCCAGAACUAGUAAGUAACCACUGGACAUUUCAAGGUCAUUCAUUUGAAGGUCAAGGUCACUGUGACCUUAUAUGUAAAAAUGUUAAAGUUGUUAUAACUUUGGUAUGCUUGGACCUAGAGUCUUGAAACUUGACAUGAAGGUUGGCCAGAACUAGUAAGUAACCACUGGACAUUUCAAGGUCAUUCAUUUGAAGGUCAAGGUCACUGUGACCUUGAAUGUAAAAAUGUUAAAGUUCUUAUUUCAUGUUAUAACUUUGGUAUGCUUGUACCUAGAGUCUUCAAACUUGAAAUAAAGAUUGGCCAGUACUAGAAGAUGACCACUGGUCAUUUCAAUGUCAUUCAUUUGAAGGUCAAGGUCACUGUGACCUUAAAUGUUAAAAUGUUAAAAUUGUUAUAACUUUGGUGUGCUUGGACAUAGAGUCUUCAAACUUGACAUGAAGGUUUGCAAGCACACUUAGAUGACCACUGGUCAUUUCAAGGUCAUUCAUUCUAAGGUCAAGGUCACUGUGACCUUGAAUGUAAAAAUGUUAAAGUUCUUAUAACUUUGGUAGGUAAAAAUGUUAAAUGUCAAUUCAAGUUCAUAUUUGUGACCUUAAAUGUUAUUGUUGUUCAUGUAUAUGCAUGCAUUCAAAACAUAACACAAGGUUUGCUCAUGCCUUGAAAAGUACUUACAUUUCAUUUUUACCUUUGAACAAUAUUUCAGUAAUUUAAGUAUUGCAUUGACAAAAACACGAAAGGUACUUUCCUGUCAUUUAAAUCAAAAAUCCGGCUUCAAUGCGGUCAUCUCCGACCGCGGAACUCUUGUUUUAAUUUGUUUAGCAGUCACAUAAACAACCAAGCUAUGUAAUAUGGAAUUUUUACACCCAUUAUUGCUGCUUCUUCCUGUAUUUGCGCGAUGAUUAUCUGAGAUAUUUACUCUAUGAUUAUACAUUCUCAAAUCUUUUCUAUAAAGAAGGAAUGUAGUUGACAAUUGUUAAUAGUUUUAUUUGAUCGUUCGUCAAAAAGUUGUAAUUCUGUUACUCUUGUAUCUUCAAUGCAAUUGAGUAAUUAAAUAGUAAUUAAAUUGAA